UGGGGAAUAUUGGACAAUGGGCGCAAGCCUGAUCCAGCAAUGCCGCGUGAGUGAUGAAGGCCUUAGGGUUGUAAAGCUCUUUCGCACGCGACGAUGAUGACGGUAGCGUGAGAAGAAGCCCCGGCUAACUUCGUGCCAGCAGCCGCGGUAAUACGAAGGGGGCUAGCGUUGUUCGGAAUUACUGGGCGUAAAGCGUGCGCAGGCGGUUUUGUAAGACGGAUGUGAAAUCCCCGGGCUUAACCUGGGAACUGCAUUCGUGACUGCAAGGCUAGAGUAUGGCAGAGGGGGGUAGAAUUCCACGUGUAGCAGUGAAAUGCGUAGAGAUGUGGAGGAAUACCGAUGGCGAAGGCAGCCCCCUGGGCCAAUACUGACGCUCAUGCACGAAAGCGUGGGGAGCAAACA
rnacentral:rRNA from 1 species